GAUGAACGCUGGCGGCGUGCUUAACACAUGCAAGUCGAACGGAAAGGCCAGUGCUUGCACUGGUGCUCGAGUGGCGAACGGGUGAGUAACACGUGGGUGAUCUGCCCUGCACUUUGGGAUAAGCCUGGGAAACUGGGUCUAAUACCAGAUAGGACCAUGCUUUGGAUGGUGUGGUGGAAAGUUUUUUCGGUGUGGGAUGAGCUUGCGGCCUAUCAGCUUGUUGGUGGGGUAAUGGCCUACCAAGGCGUCGACGGGUAGCCGGCCUGAGAGGGUGUACGGCCACAUUGGGACUGAGAUACGGCCCAGACUCCUACGGGAGGCAGCAGUGGGGAAUAUUGCACAAGGGGCGCAAGCCUGAUGCAGCGACGCCGCGGGGGGGAGGACGGCCUUCGGGUUGUAAACUCCUUUCGCAACUGACGAAGCUUUUUGUGACGGUAGGUUGAGAAGAAGCACCGGCUAACUACGUG
rnacentral:rRNA from 1 species